rnacentral:rRNA from 1 species
GUGGGGAAUUUUGGACAAUGGGGGCAACCCUGAUCCAGCCAUUCCGCGUGAGUGAAGAAGGCCUUCGGGUUGUAAAGCUCUUCCGGCAGGAACGAAACGGUGAGCUCUAACAUAGCUCGCUAAUGACGGUACCUGAAGAAGAAGCACCGGCUAACUACGUGCCAGCAGCCGCGGUAAUACGUAGGGUGCGAGCGUUAAUCGGAAUUACUGGGCGUAAAGCGUGCGCAGGCGGUUGUGUAAGACAGGUGUGAAAUCCCCGGGCUCAACCUGGGAAUUGCGCUGGUGACUGCAGUGCUGGAGUGCGGCAGGGGGGGAUGGAAUUCCGCGUGUAGCAGUGAAAUGCGUAGAUAUGCGGAGGAACACCGAUGGCGAAGGCAAUCCCCUGGGCCUGCACUGACGCUCAUGCACGAAAGCGUGGGGAGCAAACAGGAUUAGAUACCCGGGUAGUCC